rnacentral:rRNA from 1 species
CAGUAGCCGCGGUAAUACGUAGGUGGCAAGCGUUGUCCGGAAUUAUUGGGCGUAAAGCGCGCGCAGGCGGCCUAUCCAGUCUGUCUUAAAAGUUCGGGGCUCAACCCCGUGAUGGGAUGGAAACUAGUAGGCUAGAGUAUCGGAGAGGAAAGCGGAAUUCCUGGUGUAGCGGUGAAAUGCGUAGAUAUUGGGAGGAACACCAGUGGCGAAGGCGGCUUUCUGGACUGUAGCUGACGCUGAGGCUCGAAAGCCAGGGGAGCGAACGGGAUUAGAUACCCCUGUAGUCCCUGUCUCUUAUACA